ACAAGCGGUGGAUGAUGUGGUUUAAUUCGAUGCUAACGACGAAAACCUUACCACCUUUGACAUGGCUAGGAAGUUUCCAGAGAUGGAUUCGUGCUCGAAAGAGAACCUGCACACAGGUGCUGCAUGGCUGUCGUCAGCUCGUGUCGUGAGAUGUUGGGUUAAGUCCCGCAACGAGCGCAACCCUUGCCAUCAGUUGCUACGAAAGGGCACUCUGAUGGGACUGCCGGUGACAAACCGGAGGAAGGUGGGGAUGACGUCAAGUCCUCAUGGCCCUUAUAGGUGGGGCUACACACGUCAUACAAUGGCCGGUACAAAGGGCAGCAAACCCGCGAGGGGGAGCCAAUCCAUCAAAGCCGGUCGUAGUCCGGAUCGCAGUCUGCAACUCGACUGCGUGAAGUCGGAAUCGCUAGUAAUCGUGGAUCAGCAUGUCACGGUGAAUACGUUCCCGGGUCUU
rnacentral:rRNA from 1 species